GAUGAACGCUGGCGGCGUGCCUAAUACAUGCAAGUCGAGCGAACAGUCGUGGAGAUUGAUCCUCUGACGUUAGCGGCGAACGGGUGAGUAACAAGCGGAUAAACUACCCAUAAGCCUGGGAUACAUUCGGGAAGCCGGACAUAAUAACGGAUAAUCUAUUACCCCACAAGGUUAAAUACUGCAUGAUGGCUUUGCAGUAACUUACUGUUGGACCCGCGUCGAAUUAGCUAGUUGGUAAGGUAAAGGCUUACCAAGGCAACGAUGCGUAGCCGACCUGAGAGGGUGAUCGGCCACACUGGAACUGAGACACGGUCCAGACUCCUACGAGAGGCAGCAGUAGGGAAUCUUCCACAAUGGGCGAAAGCCUGACGGAGCAACGCCGCGUGGGUGAUGAAGGUCUUCGGAUCGUAAAACUCUGUUAUUAGGGAAGAACGAAUGUGAAAGUAACUAUUCACGUCUUGACGGUACCUAAUCAGAAAGCCACGGCUAACUACGUG
rnacentral:rRNA from 1 species